UAUGUGAUCGUCUCUCGCAUAUCAAUAAGCGGAGGAAAAGAAACUAACAAGGAUUCCCCUAGUAACGGCGAGUGAAGCGGGAAGAGCUCAAAUUUGAAAUCUUAAAGGGUUUCCCUUUACGAAUUGUAGUUUAAAGAAGUGUUUUCUGUUGAGGUUUUGGUAAAAGUUCUUUGGAAUAGGACAUCAUAGAGGGUGAGAAUCCCGUAUUUGACCUUUACUUUCAACUUUGUGAUACACUUUCAAAGAGUCGGAUUGUUUGGGAAUGCAGUCCAAAAUGGGUGGUAAAUUUCAUCUAAAGCUAAAUAUUGGCGAGAGACCGAUAGCGAACAAGUACCGUGAGGGAAAGAUGAAAAGAACUUCGAAAAGAGAGUUAAACAGUACGUGAAAUUGUCAAAAGGGAAGCGUUUGACACCAGUGUUGUUUUUCUGAAAAUCAAUUAAAGAACUGUUUAUGCUAAGUUGUUUAGACUUUAUCAGCUAACUGUUUAGUUUUGAGCUUUUCUUUAAUGCACUUUUCAGUUAACAAGUCAACAUCAAUUUCUUUUGCUGUAAAAAAGCUUGAGGAAGGUGGCUUGAGAUUCGUCUUAAGUGUUUAUAGCCUCUUGCCUAUGCAGUCGGAGAGAUUGAGGUCUGCAGGCGUAGAUCCUUCGGGGCUAAAUGCAUUUGUGCUAAGUUAUAGCAUUUUAUAGACAACUUGUUGACUAUGAUUUGUCUUGUAGCUUACUCGCUUAUGUUAUUUUACCUACGCUUAGGAUGUUGAUCUACAGAGCGAGAGU
rnacentral:rRNA from 1 species